rnacentral:rRNA from 1 species
UACGUAGGGUGCGAGCGUUGUCCGGAAUUAUUGGGCGUAAAGGGCUCGUAGGCGGUCUGUCGCGUCGGGAGUGAAAACUCAGGGCUCAACCCUGAGCGUGCUUCCGAUACGGGCAGACUAGAGGUAUGCAGGGGAGAACGGAAUUCCUGGUGUAGCGGUGGAAUGCGCAGAUAUCAGGAGGAACACCGGUGGCGAAGGCGGUUCUCUGGGCAUGACCUGACGCUGAGGAGCGAAAGCAUGGGGAGCGAACAGG